rnacentral:lncRNA from 1 species
GAUGAGACUGAUCGUGGGGUUGACCAACAAGAUGGAAAGAACCACGCAGGAUCCCCUGGGUGCGAGGAGAGUGAUGCCGGUAAAGAAAAGUUGCCGAAGAUGAGACUGCCCACGCGCUCAGACAUGAUAUGCGGCUAUGCCUGCCUCAAAGGGACUGCCGCCAUGCGGAACACCAAACGAGGUUCCUGGUACAUCGAGGCUCUUGCUCAAGUGUUUUCUGAGCGGGCUUGUGAUAUGCACGUGGCCGACAUGCUGGUUAAGGUGAGC